rnacentral:rRNA from 1 species
AGCUCCAAGAGCAUAUAUUAAAGUUGUUGCAGUUAAAAAGCUCGUAGUUGGACUUCUGGUUUAAUGCACCUGGCCCGCGGUCGUCAGACCUGUGAGUGCCGGCGCGCGUUUACCAUCCUUCUAGAAAACGGGUCUUCCCUUAACUGGGCCGGAUUCGGGAUCUAGAUCAUUUACUUUGAAAAAAUUAGAGUGUUUAAAGCAGGCUAUUGCUAUGAAUACAUUAGCAUGGAAUAAUAAUCUAGGACUUCGGUUCUAUUUUGUUGGUUUCUAUGACUGAAGUAAUGAUUGAUAGGGAUAGUUGGGGGUGCUAGUAUUGGCCGGUCAGAGGUGAAAUUCUUGGAUUCGGUCAAGACUAACUUAUGCGAAAGCAUUCACCAAGGAUGUCUUCU